CAGGGCUCCCUGUUGUCCCCGGGCGGCAGACCCCAAAUGCAGACCUUCCACUCUGAGCCUGACUGUGGGAGGGGAGACGCUGCCUUAUCGUUUUCAGGAACUGCCUGACUUUAGAGAAAGAUCCCUCCCUCAGAUGCCCCAUCCCAGGGCCUGCGGUGGGGGAGGAAGUCCGGGAGACGCUGCCUGCUGGGGGGCCCUGGGCAGGUGGGGCUCCUUGUCAGGGCUACAGUCCCUGGACUGGAUGCCGCCUGUCUGUGAGGCUGAGGGAACCUGUUCCAGGCCCUCUGCUGGGGUGCAGUUGGGUCCCCCAAACCUGUGAAAUAGAUCAAGACAGCUACCAGCACCCCAGCUUCCGUGCAUCCUAAGUGACUCAGUCCCCUCCAGGCAGGCAGGAUGCCCCAUGUGAAUGUGGACGGGUCCAGGGUGGGAGUAGGUGGGUCCAGCAUGAAAGUGGGCAGGUCCAGGGUGACCAUGACAGUGGGCCAGUUGGGGUGAGAGUGUGGGUGGGUCUGGGGUGAGAGUGGGCAGGUCCAGCAUGAAUGUGGGUGGGUCCAGGGUGAUGGUGACAGUGGACAGGUCUGGGGUGAGAACGGGCAUGUUCAGGGUUGGAAUGGGUGGAUCCAGCAUGAAUGUGGGCAGGUCCGUGGUGACCAUGACAGUCACACUCUCACCUUGCACGUUAACUGAACCAAGGGUUGGGGUGAGGGUGUGGGUCUGAGGUGAGAGUGGGCGGGUCUGAGGUGAGAGUGGGCGGGUCCAGGGUGAGAGUGGGUGGGUCUGAGGUAAGAGUGGGCGGGUCCAGGGUGACGGUGGGUCCAGGUUGAGAGUGGGCGGGUCCAGAUUGAGAGCAGGCGGGUCUGAGGUGAGAGUGGGCAGGUCUGAGGUGAGAGUGGGCAGGUCUGAGGUGAGAGCAGGCAGGUCUGAGGUGAGAGCGGGCGGGUCUGAGGUGAGAGUGGGCGGGUCUGAGGUGAGAGUGGGCGGGUCCAGGAUGAGAGUGGGUGGGUCUGAGGUAAGAGUGGGCAGGUCCAGGGUGACAUUGGGCAGGUCUGAAGUGAGAGUGGGCAGGUUUGGGGUGCCAGUGGGGUGGGUCCAGGGCUGGAACGUAAAUCCCAGCCUCCAUCCUCUGGUUGUAGAUGCUGCGUGGGGAACAGUUGACCCCCCUAGCUGGGUCAUCAUGUAAUUUGUCAAAUACUUAGAACCUAAGAGACGGACGCAGCCCGUGGGUGUGGUCAGCAGGGUGGCUUCACCAGGAAAGGUGGAAGGGCCUUCUUGGACAGGGACAUGGGAGCUGGACAGCUGGUGGCCCAGGACAGUGAGUCUGCGCUCGACCAUACGGAAUCCCCUGAACGCUCAUGUAACACAGCUCGUGAGUCUCACCCCCACAGCGUCUCAUCCCGUGGGUCUGGGCAUGGCUUGAGAAUUCGAGGUUCUAACCAGCUGAUGCCCCGGGCACCCUACUUUGAGAAGCACAUUAACUGAGCCAAGGGCGUGUGCUCAUGGGAAGUUUUCUCUUUUUAAGUAGAGACAUCAGGGCUUCAGGUGUGCUUAGUUCAACUCUGCUGGAA
rnacentral:lncRNA from 10 species